rnacentral:lncRNA from 1 species
GUCCGCAUGAAUUCCAAGAUGGCGGUCGCAAACCCGGAAGUUGGUCAAGGCCGGAGCUGCCUCUGUCGAGCUCGAAGCCGGCAGCUUUAAGUCUGCCGCCGCCGCCGCCUUACGGCCUUUGGUUCUCUCUCCCCCCACCGGCCGAGGGUCCUUAUUCGUGUGUUGGGGGAAAGCGCGAAGACCAGGAUAUGUCGCAGAGGGAAGGGCCGAGAUAAGGGAUCUCUUUGGACCCCCAGAAACCGACUGGCUUCCGAUUCCUCCAUGAAGCAGCACAAAGCCUGAUGCCCACUUUGCCCCUCACCAUGGACAGGGGGAGGAGUUACCACCCACCAUGUACCCACCAGCAGCUCGGCAGUACACUGUAUAGGACACCCAUCUUUCAAGCCCAGCUUGGCUUGCCCACCACUGAGAAUUCUGCUUCUGGUUGCUGGAGUUCAUCCCUGUUUGCACCUCCUUCGUAUUCAGCACCAUGUUUCCUGAAUGAAAACCAGUAAGUGCAUUUGUAGGAGACUACAAAACACUAUAGGACAGAGCUGGAAGGGACCUGUGAGGUCUUCUAGUCUAACCCCCUGCUCAAGUUGUCUAACCCUUUGCGCCAUCACUUGAAACCUUAUGUCAGCCUUCAAGAUCUUCUACUAUCGCUUUGCAUCUUUUGGCUGUCAUAAGAAAGGGGGGGGAGGGGAGGACGGGAUGAGUCUGGGAAAUGAGCUGGAGGUGUUACAUUUUUCUGUUGUGUAAAUGAGGGGGGGGGAAGCAUACAUCAGAGUUAGGUUUCUAUUUCUCGCUUAGCUUUCUUUUCUCUGCGCAACUGCAACCUGUUAUCAAAGUAUGCCAAGGUCAACGGACAGAGGCCUCAUCAUCACCUGAAGAUGCCCACAUGAUCAUAUUCACAAUUUCUAAUUCAUCUGAACUAUUGGGGGUGGGAACACUUCCAUCACUUUGUAUAUGUGAUUUACGCGCCUAAUUUCUCAGAUUCAGAAUUCUCUGGUUGCUACCACUUCACUUUCAGUAAAAAAUAACUUUUCUCUAAA